GGGCAUUGGGCGGCAGCUUACACAUGCAAGUCGAGCGGGGAAGAGUAGCUUGCUACUUGACCUAGCGGCGGACGGGUGAGUAAUGCUUAGGAAUCUGCCUAUUAGUGGGGGACAACAUCUCGAAAGGGAUGCUAAUACCGCAUACGUCCUACGGGAGAAAGCAGGGGACCUUCGGGCCUUGCGCUAAUAGAUGAGCCUAAGUCGGAUUAGCUAGUUGGUGGGGUAAAGGCCUACCAAGGCGACGAUCUGUAGCGGGUCUGAGAGGAUGAUCCGCCACACUGGGACUGAGACACGGCCCAGACUCCUACGGGAGGCAGCAGUGGGGAAUAUUGGACAAUGGGGGGAACCCUGAUCCAGCCAUGCCGCGUGUGUGAAGAAGGCCUUUUGGUUGUAAAGCACUUUAAGCGAGGAGGAGGCUACCGAGAUUAAUACUCUUGGAUAGUGGACGUUACUCGCAGAAUAAGCACCGGCUAACUCUGUGCCAGCAGCCGCGGUAAUACAGAGGGUGCAAGCGUUAAUCGGAUUUACUGGGCGUAAAGCGCGCGUAGGUGGCCAAUUAAGUCAAAUGUGAAAUCCCCGAGCUUAACUUGGGAAUUGCAUUCGAUACUGGUUGGCUAGAGUAUGGGAGAGGAUGGUAGAAUUCCAGGUG
rnacentral:rRNA from 1 species